UGUUUAGUCAAAAUAUCCUCCGGAAAUUUGAAUCAUGGAGCGAUUUUUGGAGAAAAGCCACACCGAGUGACUAAUUGAAAUGACGUAUUUAAAUUCUCAUUAUGCAAUAAUUUAAAAGAACACAUUGUUUGUUCAGGUUUUAACGGAACAAUAGUGAAAACUGUUAACUCUGAUAAUUAAAAGUGAAGUAAAAGUUACUUUAGGACUUAUUUGGGUACAAUCGAUGCUUGGACUGGUUUCUAAGUGAGUUUUACUUCGAACUAAAAGUCGAUGAAAUAGUAAAUUAAAUUGUGACGACAUUUUUUAUGGACAGAAGCAAGGAAAACGACAAAACAACUUUUUAUGCUUUUUCUGUUUACAUUAAAUCUACUGAAGCAGAUCGCGUGUCGGAGGAUCGGAAAACCGCAUUAGAACUAGUUUAGUUCAAAUAGAACAAUUAUUUUUUAUCUGAAAAAUUUCAAACUAAUAAAGAGCAAUUUGCAAUUAUUUGAUAAUAAAAAUUUUUUGUUUAAUUUUAAUAACAAUAAUUCUGAACUAGAUUUUUAAACAACCUUGGGCAUUAUUAUUUAUCCACUUCGUUAAUCUAUUUUUGUCCAAUAAACAAUGUUUGGUUAAAAAAUAAAAGAAAAAAAAAUGACGAAACGGGGAUCGAACCUGGGUUUUUCGAGUUCGUCGUAUUUGCUGAUACUUGUGGUUUUACAGAGAAUCAUAAAUUAUAAUAUUUAUUGAUAUUGCAGGCUUAAUUAAUAAUAAUAACUUUUAUUAACAACUAACAAGUGCCUUUUUUUUAAAAAAAGCGAAGAUAUCAGGGAUCGAACCUCAGAUUUUGAGUUCGUAUCAAAUUUUUCGUGGUAGAAACAAUUCAUAUUUGCAUUAUUAUUGAGGGUUUAAUUGAUAAUAAUAAUUAUAAUCUUUAAUUUUUUUUUACAAAAUCUUCUGACAAAGUAAAUUAGAAGAGUAAUCAGAAAACUAAUCUAUAAAAAAAUUCGUUUAAUUUUUUUACCAGAAAAUUUGAAUGUUUGUGACCGUGCCUGAAGUAAUUGAUUAAAAUAGGUAUAAUUUGCAGUUUGAACAAAACUAAUUACAGAUAAUUCUCUCUGGGAAAAAAUUGAUUUCAAUGCUAAACGACAAUGUUAGCAGUGGGAAACUUAAAAUCGGAAAAUUAAUUUUAUGAAGUGGCCACAAAUGAGUUUUUAUUGCACAUAAAGUUUCAUAAUUAGCGAAUAAUGAAACGUUUUGUCUUAAACAAUUACCCUAAUGACGACCUUAAUUGCACUUUAAAAAUAUUUCGUGGUCAAACACGGAUGUCUAACACUUUCGUUUAAUCGCACAUAAAAAUUCAGCUCGUCUCUGACCUGACAUAAUUAAUUGAAAACAUUGCCAUUAGGAGGUGACAAGCUCUUAAAAGGCGUAAUUUUUAAACUUUCAAGCGGGCCACUUGCUUUUACCCGUGGGAUUAUUUUCGAACUAACGGGCACAAGCCCACUGAUGGCAAUUUUUGCGGAAGAUACGCCCUAGCCCAGUGGGCGUUUUAAACAGUUGCUAAACUGUACCACAAAUUUUGGAAAAAUUGCGCGUUUUAGUGAAAGUUUUAAGCCAUAAAAGUGCAAUAAAUAAUAAAGGAAAGUCGCUUUUAGCACAUGGGAAACUGCGAUUUUGUAACUGUUUGUGAGGAUGGUGAUGAAUGUCUCCAACAAUGGAACUGUUAUGAAAUUGAUCUUGAAAUUUGGGAUUCUGGUCGAGUGGUAGGUGCGGUCGGUAGUUAAAAAAAUUUGCACUCUGUUUAUGGUAGCUUGACCCUGUGGGAAGAGAUUUAUCGGUCGAAAACUGUCUCAAAAAAUCAGACUUUGCGAUAAAAUCAACGACGGCGGAAUGGGUUGGGUAUUGGCGUUCAAGGUGAGGAAAAUGAUCGAUUCCUCUUAUUAUUUUUCUUGGUAAGGUAUUUGCGUUGUGUGAUAAUUUUUAAUGGAAAGACUUGUUCGAGGUAUUAAAAUACAGUUGGCCUUGGCUCGUUUUUUUGGAAAAUAAGUUGGUACUGCCCACAAUGAUCGGUUUUGGGUGGUGAACAGUUAAUUUGGCCUGAAAAUGGCGAAAAUAGCGAUAGUGAGUGGGAUUUUAAGAGACUGACUCAUAAGGAAAAAUUUGUGUACUAACUGUAUUUUUACAAAUAAAUUUCUUAAGUUUU